UACGGAGGGAGCUAGCGUUGUUCGGAAUUACUGGGCGUAAAGCGCGUGUAGGCGGCUCGGAAAGUCGGAUGUGAAAGCCCUGGGCUUAACCUAGGAAGUGCAUUCGAAACUCCCGAGCUUGAGUUCUGGAGAGGAAGGCGGAAUUCUCGGUGUAGAGGUGAAAUUCGUAGAUAUCGAGAGGAACACCGGUGGCGAAGGCGGCCUUCUGGACAGUGACUGACGCUGAGACGCGAAAGCGUGGGGAGCAAACAGG
rnacentral:rRNA from 1 species